ensembl:lncRNA
CUGAGCGGGGCCGGGUUUGGGCUGUGGAGCGUGGCUGUGGUGGGUUCAUGCCAUUAAAGAGGAGAUGCUUCCACCCAUAUAUCGUUCUAGCUCUUGGUGGCCUUCGCUGCUUCCAAUGGAACUGCUGUGUUCCCUGUUAGAAUUCACAAAGCUUCCAUUUUUAAAUUGACGUUUUUACCGUGCCUUAAUAAAUUCAAAGCUUUCAGCGCCUGCUUUUGAAGGGUCACUUCAUUGAGCUUUUUCCAUUAUCUGAAUAGCUUAGCCUGUUUCAAAUUCUAAGGCUUUCUGAGUUAGGUUUUUCUUCUGCGCCUUUUAAUUUCAAGUACUCAGAAAAGGUGUGUUUUCCCUCAGAGGGCGGUGAGGCGCUGGCACAGCUGCCCAGAGAAGCUGUGGUGCCCCAUCCCUGGAGGCGCUCAAGGCCAGGUUGGAUGGGGCCCUGGGCAGCUGAGCUGGCGGGGGGCAGCUCUGCCCACAGCAGGGGAUGGGGCUGGGUGGGCUUUGAGGGCCCUUCCAACCCAAACUAUCCUGUGAUCUCUGUAUAAACGGAACUGCUAUGAGGAUGCUGCCUGCAGUGAUAAAAUGAAUUUUAGUUUAAGGCUACGCAGUCUUUUGCCCAAUAGUAGAUUCAAGACUGGCUUUUGCCCGGAAUCACUGAGUUGCUCAGCUGUUGAGAUGCUCAAAUUCUUCUCCUUGCAUUCUAGGAUAUCCUUCUUUUCCUCCCCCUACCCCAUAUGGCCAACAUAUGGCCAGUUUCUUUAUUUCAGCCCGUGUAGUGUUUCAGCGGCCUCUAUUAAAAUGCAUUUGAUAUUGCGUGGGCCUAGUUGAUCAAGCAAAUUCAGUCUCCCUGCCUUUAUCACUUAAUGCUUUUAUAUCAUUUUCUCUAUUUCAGUAUUUCUCAGGAAAUAGAAUUAAAUGUGUACUUCCAUUUAUUGAUCAAAAUUAAAUAGCAGGCAAAGUACUGAUACCUGUAACUUAUAGCAACAAGGUUUUAUUUACUGGGUUUUUUUCAUCAUCAAGUAUUGAUAAUUUUUAUCAUCUUCUGCUGGAAAUGUAUGGAGCUGGUUUUUGUCAGCAAUUAAUUAAAUGCUUUUCAAAUAUCUCAUUAAAUUACAUCUGAACACUUGCCUUUAGCUACCAAAUUUAAUCAUAUCAAGGAGAGAAAUCAGGAUUUUGGAAUGCGAGUUUUCAUUUCUUCCUGAAGGCUGAGACUGGAUAAGUGCAUUUGGAAAAUUUCUUCUUCUGUCUGCCAGUAAAAAAAAAUAAAGAUUAUUUAAAUGUAUUUAAUAUUCUCUGCAGAAGUGCAGCAUUGAUGCAUAGAUAGGGAAGACGAGGGAUGCAACUGCUGUGACUCUUGCCUGGGGCUCCCUGCAGCUUUCUGCUUGCUAGGAGCCCAGCUGCACACAGAAAAAACGCGAAGAGCAGCAGUGGCCUCUGGUGGUGAUAGGCUUGUUCUGUGCUGAACGUUGUUACGGUUCUUGGUCGUUUCAGCAGUUAAAUACAGCCUGCAAUUCCAUGGGAUAAGGCAGCAUCUGCUCACAAGAUUUCAGUUAGACCCAAAGACAGGAUUCUGAAACAAGGAAACUCAAUUGAAUUGCUAUCUUAAAAACUCUUUGCACAAGCUUGUUAUUCCAACUACUAGUUCUUUUUCUGUUCCAAUUUAGCUGUAGGAUUAUCUGUAUUUUACGUGAGCUCUGCAUUAGGAUUAAGCACUUUGAAUCGUGAGUUCUGUUGCAGUUUUGCAUGGAACUGCCAUGUACUUCCCAGGAAAGCAAGCAGGACAGUAUGUGCAGCACCUUCUGUCUGGACUGAUAUCAGCAAAAAUUGUAUGUCAUUUUUCAAGUCUAAUGCAAAAAGCAACUUCAGUUUCUAUACUGGCUUUUCAGCGUUAUUGUUCCCUGCGUGACUUUCAGUGUUCAGCAGUAGUACACACAAUCAGGGUUAAUUUUGUACCACAAAAGUCUGUGUGUCCCAAAUUUAUGUGGUAUUUCAGUGCAUAUCAGUGUUCAGCAUCACAUUCAUUCCUUACAAAAUUAGCUUUGCAUAAGAGCUGAAGAGACAUCAAAUUUUGCUUCAGACCUUCAAGGAGCCCCUUGUGUUGGAAGAGAAAAGUAACACUUCUAUGAAGAAUAUAUGGAACAGAUGUUGAAGAGCAUAUAAAAAUAACUUUUUAUUAAUAAGGAAGUGCUAACUCAGAUGUCUAAAAUACUGUCUUUGAAUUUACAGCCAUUUUCAGUCUACCGAAGCUAUUUAAUGUGUGACUUACGUUCUUUGUCUAUAUGAUUGACGUAUUUUCCAGCUGUGCUUUGCAGCUCUUGGAAGAAAGGCACUUAAUGCAUAGCUAAAACUGUUGCUCUGCGUGUUGAGUGAAUCUGUUUGAAGAAAUGCUGGUAUUUCAAUGUAUUUUAAAAAUGUUGUAUUUUGUAAAGAAUAAAAUAACCCACAGCAGUUUCUCUUUACAGUCUGUUGCAUUAUUCUGGAGGUGCUGCACAGAACUUUUCAGAUUUGGGGUGUGCCCUAGUGUUACAAGCCAGUGCCUUUUCAGUGCCCACUAGCAUUGUUUGCUUUGCCAAGCUUUUAUUUCCUUCUUCAGUCUCACAUUCCCUAUUGCUACACCUCGGUCCACAUCAGUUCUACCUGCUUGGUCCAUGUAUGCAUUCUCCAACUAUCUUUUUUUCACUCCUGGUGAUUUGUCAGGAGUAAAUACAAGCAGAAUCUUCAAAGAAGAAAGCUACAAAACUGCAAUAUCCAAC